rnacentral:lncRNA from 1 species
AGGUCGCAUAGGAUUACUUCUUAACUACUAAGGUCGAUAGAUCCCCUAUAAGUGCACUCCUAUUCCUACAAUGAAUCUACUGCAGCCAAUGAAUACCACAAGAUUUUAAAUGGCUAAAGACCAUAUUUAUGUAUUGUCAAACUACAGCAAUUCUACUGUGAGCAGUCGAGGCACCGUAGAUCAAAAAACUACUCACAUAACUACAGUAUGGAUAUAGUCACUAAUGAGUGAGU